rnacentral:rRNA from 1 species
UGGGGGAUAUUGCACAAUGGGCGAAAGCCUGAUGCAGCGACGCCGCGUGGGGGAUGAAGGCCUUCGGGUUGUAAACUUCUUUUGCUCUGAACAAGGCAUGCCUUUGGGGUGUGUUGAGUGUAGGGGUUGAUUAGCGCCGGCUAACUACGUGCCAGCAGCCGCGGUAAUACGUAGGGCGCGAGCGUUGUCCGGAAUCACUGGGCGUAAAGGGUUCGCAGGCGGAAAUGCAAGUCAGGUGUAAAAGGCAGUAGCUUAACUACUGUAAGCAUUUGAAACUGCAUAUCUUGAGAAGAGUAGAGGUAAGUGGAAUUUUUAGUGUAGCGGUGAAAUGCGUAGAUAUUAAAAAGAAUACCGGUGGCGAAGGCGACUUACUGGGCUCAUUCUGACGCUGAGGAACGAAAGCGUGGGUAGCAAACAGG